AUGCUACAACCGGCACCUUUUUUUGCUACCAUCGGCAAACGGCUGAGUUGUGACGGCAGAGGUAGCGCCCUAUUUAUUUGCAUCAACCAGCGAGAACGACAGAUACUUUCAUCGGCGGCGUGGGCCUUUUUUUUGCUGCAACCGGCACGACAACGAGCUAUGCGGACGUUUCUGCGUGCGGUGACGAGGAGGACGGUACCAGCGGCGGCACGAUCCGGCAGCGACAGCGAGGGCGGCGACCAACGGCGAGGGCGGCGACCGGUGGUGAGGGAAGACGAGGAGGCGAGGCGGUCGGCGCGUGCGGGGGCGGCGCUCUCUUACCUCUCCUUUUUCCUCGUGCAGGAGGUUGAAGAUGAGGGAAGGACGGGGACAGUUCCAGAUCUGAUGGUUGUGCUUGUGCUAAUCAAACGGCCACGGGCUGACCGGCCGAAAAGUUAG
rnacentral:rRNA from 1 species